GCACAGUGGUUUGAAAUGGUCAGAAAUUUGGGUUCAGAGAAUCAAAUGUCUCCACAUUUGACAUUGACACUUGGGAAGAAUACCUGGCCAUGGGAAGCAUUGUUGAGCUUGAAUGAAAUGAGUUCAAUCAGUAAUGCCUUCUACUGAUGACCCUUGAGGAAGGAGUCUCCAUGCCCAGUGGAGAAGUAAAAAGCAAUGAAGAGUAGUUAGGAUAUUUAUUUUCCUGGAUGAACCCCGUGUGAAAUCAUCAGCCUUAACUGAAGAUUGCCUCAUCUCAAGUGGUGGCUUGUUC
rnacentral:lncRNA from 1 species